UAAGUUAUCGGAACUGCUUAGUGCUACCUAGUGCAGAGUCUUGCAGUAUGUAGGUGAUAUGCACUUGUCAUUUUAUGAAAGAGGUUCAUGGUGAUACAGGACAACUUUGAGGUUCAUGCAGAUGGUGUUUAAAGCUAUCAGUCAGUAAAAACAAACUCAUUUGAACACAUCUUGAGUCUUCACAUGUAAAAUGAUGACAGUACUUUCAAUAUAGAUUAACGCAGACAGACGCAUUUUGCCGGAAAACGAAUCUGACAUGCCACCUCAAGAUUUUAACCAAGGAAAGACAACUUGAUGUGCUUUGAUUUGAGGGGUCACUCACUGCUGAACGAAAAUUAGGGACAUUGCUAUGUGAAGAAACGUUAACAUUGCCGCCUAUGGGAAAACAAUUAGUGG